UGCUCUGCCGAUCUGGGAGAGUGUCCAGGAUCCAAGGACCCAACCUGGGCUGAGUGCUGACAGGGGAAACAGCCCCAAGGAUCUACAUGAGCCUGAGACACAGAGUCUGAGAGGGCCUGGGGGAGGCGUGCGCUGCCCACAGAGCCGCAGAUGGGACAGCGCAGGGGACUCUGCCUUCUCAGAAGGCUUUUAGUGAUUCCCAACAAAAGUGUAUGUGCAAAAUGCAAAGAUGCCAAUAGAGAGGGUUAAAGAAAUCCCAAGUGCCCAGGGAGACUGGAUGGCCGGGAAGGCUGGGUAAAUAGGAACAGAGGGUGGGGGGUUGUCAACCCACAGCCGAUGGCAUGGUUCUUAGAAAGGGGCAGGGAAGCCAGGUUCAGCCCCACAGGGCAAGCUGCCAGGGUGCCCACUCUACACUGCCAGGCAGGAAUCCAGAGGGCUCAGUCCUGCCCCACUGGUUGACUCUGCUCACCGGGAUAGUGGCAAUGACUUCACCCUGUUCUGGGGUGCCUCUGGGCUCUUUUCAUCUCAGGUGGUCUUGAUGAGCCCUCAUGGGUGGUGCAUCUUCUCUCCUUCCCGAUUACCCUGGAUUGAGGUGGAGAACCCCACUGAGAAGUUGACUUAUCUGCC